GGGUGUGUAGCUCAAUUGGUAGAGCGGCUGACUGCAGAUUAGCAGGUCCUCGGUUCAAAUCCGGGCGUGCCCU
rfam:Perkinsus marinus ATCC 50983 gcontig_1104296623798, whole genome shotgun sequence.